rnacentral:rRNA from 1 species
GACGAACGCUGGCGGCGUGCUUAACACAUGCAAGUCGAACGGAAAGGCCCUGCUUUUGUGGGGUGCUCGAGUGGCGAACGGGUGAGUAACACGUGAGUAACCUGCCCUUGACUUUGGGAUAACUUCAGGAAACUGGGGCUAAUACCGGAUAGGAGCUCCUGCUGCAUGGUGGGGGUUGGAAAGUUUCGGCGGUUGGGGAUGGACUCGCGGCUUAUCAGCUUGUUGGUGGGGUAGUUGCUUACCAAGGCUUUGACGGGUAGCCGGCCUGAGAGGGUGACCGGCCACAUUGGGACUGAGAUACGGCCCAGACUCCUACGGGAGGCAGCAGUGGGGAAUAUUGCACAAUGGGCGGAAGCCUGAUGCAGCAACGCCGCGUGCGGGAUGACGGCCUUCGGGUUGUAAACCGCUUUCGCCUGUGACGAAGCGUGAGUGACGGUAAUGGGUAAAGAAGCACCGGCUAACUACGUG